GCGGGCGUGGCGGAAUGGCAGACGCACCAGACUUAGGAUCUGGCGAGGCAACUCGUGGAGGUUCAAAUCCUCUCGCCCGCACCA
rnacentral:tRNA from 1 species